rnacentral:rRNA from 1 species
UACAGAGGUGGCAAGCGUUGUUCGGAAUUACUGGGCGUAAAGGGCGCGUAGGCGGCCCUCUCAGUCAGACGUGAAAUCCCCCGGCUUAACCUGGGAACUGCGUCUGAUACUGGAGGGCUCGAGUUCGGGAGAGGGAUGCAGAAUUCCAGGUGUAGCGGUGAAAUGCGUAGAUAUCUGGAGGAACACCGGUGGCGAAGGCGGCAUCCUGGACCGAUACUGACGCUGAGGCGCGAAAGCCAGGGGAGCAAACGGG